GCGCAGCAGUCGAGAAUUUUUCUCAAUGGGGGAAACCCUGAAGGAGCGACGCCGCGUGGAGGAUGAAGGUCUUCGGAUUGUAAACUCCUGUCAUUAGGGAACAAAUCUUCCAAGUAACUACUGGAAGUCUGAUAGUACCUGAAGAGGAAGAGACGGCUAACUCUGUGCCAGCAGCCGCGGUAAUACAGAGGUCUCAACCGUUGUUCGGAUUCAUUGGGCGUAAAGGGUGCGUAGGCGGCGGAGUAAGUCAGGUGUGAAAUCUCGGGGCUCAACCCCGAAACUGCACUUGAUACUGCUUCGCUUGAGUAUUUGGAGAGGAGAUUGGGAAUUUACGGUGUAGCAGUGAGAUGCGUAGAUAUCGUAAGGAAGACCAGUGGCGAAGGCGAAUCUCUGGACAAUUACUGACGCUGAGGCACGAAGGCCAGGGGAGCAAACGGGAUUAGAUACCCGCGUAGU
rnacentral:rRNA from 1 species